rnacentral:rRNA from 1 species
AUUGAACGCUGGCGGCAGGCCUAACACAUGCAAGUCGAACGCGUGGCGGACGGGUGAGUAAUGUCUGGGAAACUGCCUGAUGGAGGGGGAUAACUCCUGGACACGGUCGCUAAUACCGCAUACCCUCGGAUGUGCCCAGCUGGGAGUAGCUAUUAGGUGGGGUAAAGGCUCACCUAGGCGACGAUCCGUAGCUGGUCUGAGAGGAUGACCAGCCACACGGGAACUGAGACACGGUCCAGACUCCUACGGGAGGCAGCAGUGGGGAAUAGUGGACAAUGGGCGCAAGCCUGAUGCAGCCAUGCCGCGUGUAUGAAGAAGGCCUUCGGGUUGUAAAGUACUUUCAGCGGGGAGGCGUUACCCGCAGAAGAAGCACCGGCUAACUCCGUGCCAGCAGCCGCGGUAAUUC